UACGAAGGGGGCUAGCGUUGCUCGGAAUCACUGGGCGUAAAGGGUGCGUAGGCGGGUCUUUAAGUCAGGGGUGAAAUCCUGGAGCUCAACUCCAGAACUGCCUUUGAUACUGAAGAUCUUGAGUCCGGGAGAGAUGAGUGGAACUGCGAGUGUAGAGGUGAAAUUCGUAGAUAUUCGCAAGAACACCAGUGGCGAAGGCGGCUCACUGGCCCGGUACUGACGCUGAGGCACGAAAGCGUGGGGAGCAAACAGG
rnacentral:rRNA from 1 species